CCUGGCCACACCUGCCAGGUGUGUUUAACCCAGCCCCUGCUCAUCUCCUCCAGCCUUUUGGGCUGCAGGUGAGGACCAGAAACACCAAAGCAAGGAGAAGGUGGUGCUCCGUGAACCGGGAGUUUAGGGUUUGUUGGGUGCCAGCUCCCACCUGCAAGCCCUGCCUGCCCAUCCCACAGCAGAGCUGAGCUCUGUGGCCAUUCCUGCUCUCCAGCCCUUGCCCUCCUGCAGGUUUGCAGCGAGCUUUGCAGGAUGCUUUGCACUUCUCCUUCCAGUUGCUUGGUUCUCUUGCCUCCCUGCUGUUUCCUUGGAAAAGUUAAUUUCCCCUAUGGACCUUCUUUAGAUGGAAACAUUCCCCCUCAGUGGAGAUGGUGAGCACAGAAAACAACAGAUUCCAGCCUGAAUGGAAAUAAUUAGAAACACCUUUUGCUAAAGGUGAAGGAAAUUAAGAUUAGAUGUGGCCUGGAUUUAUGGCAACAGCUUCCCAAAAUCUCCUGUUCCAGCUCCAGCUCACUCCUUACCACCUUCUGCAGCAGCUGGUACCAGCAAAAAGCAAAGGUCGUAAAAGUCACUCAGCACUCAGCCACCUGAUUAGAGCUGUCAGCCAAAGCCUCCUGCAGCCACUGCAGGGGUGAAACACCACGGAAAAGCACACAUGGGUUGUCCCACGAGCCAGACAGGAGCACACAUUGUGUUCCCAGGGGGAACGUGCUGCAAAUCCCUGUCCCAGGCAGGAGGAGUGCCAGAGGAAGGAAGCACACCUCUCCCAAAGCAGGAUGUGCCUUCAGAAAGCACAUUUUGCAGGUGUCCUCCUGCAUUUCCACACUAGCAGCUGGACUCAGGAGUGACCAGCUUCCACCACAGAGUGACCAGCUUCCAUCACAGAAAGUGACCAGCUUCCAUCACAAAAAGGGUGUCCAGUUCUUCCAUCACAGAAAAUAUGUCCAGCUUCCAUCACAGAAAGACUGUCCAGUUCUUCCACCACAGAAAGAAGCCUGCUAGCUGGCUUGGGUGUCUGAGAGAGACCAAAUUUGUCAGGUCAGAUACCUCCCAGCUGAGAAUGGGACACUACCAAUGGAGACUAGAACAUGGUUGAGGGGGUCCUGAUCUGCCCCAGAGAAGGAACUGAGCAUUGCAGCUCUCUCCCUCACGAUGUGACACUGGAAAGGUGCAGACUGACACUAUGGGGAUCCUCGUGCAUCCUUUGCUGGGACCUUUCAGGCUCCAUUAGCUCUCUGAAAUGCCUGUGCAGCAAUGCACACGGCGUGGGGCAUAAACAAGAAGAUUUAGAGCUCUCUGUGUGGUCACAGAGCCAUAAUCUCAUCACAGUUACAGGUCAUGGGGAACAGGAGAGCUGCUUGAGGCCUGGAGGAAAGCCAAGUCACUCCAGUGCUCAGAAAGGGCACGAAGGAGGACCCAGGGAGCUGCAGGCCAGGCAGCCUCAGCUCCAGCUCUGGAAAGGUUAUGGAACAGCUCAUCCUGAAUGCCAUCUCCACGCUUGGGGAGGAGAAGGAGGUUACCAGGAGCAGUCAGCACGGGUUCAGCAAGGGGAAAUCAUGCUCAGCCAGCCUGAUAGGCUUUGGGGAUGGAAUGGUGCCUGGUAGGUGAGGGAGAGCAGUGGUUCCUGUGUGCCCUGGCUCCAGCAGAGUCCUUGGCACUGUCCAUAACCUCCUCACAGGGAGGGUGGGACGCUGAGAUUGGACAAUGGGUUGAGAACUGGCUGGCAGAGCUCAGGGGGCUCUGAUGGUGGCACAGGGUCCAGCUGGAGGCCUGUGACUGGUGCUGCUCCCCAGGGGACACUACUGGGCCCAGUCCUGUUCAAAUUAAUUCAGCCAUGACCUGGAGGAAGGGGCAUUGCCUGUGGAGGACACACCACGAGCUUUGUCACGGGACAAACACAGAGGAGGACUCCAGGAGAUCCGGGCCUGACCCCCGAGGCUGAAUGGAGCACAGGUGUCCCCAGGGAGCCUCUCUUGUCACCUUUGCUGUGUCCCCUUGGCGCAGGUGCUGGAUGCUGCAGGGCUUUAGGGGAAGGCAGGUGGCACCUGCUCUGGGAACACUCUGUCCCUGCAGCCAGCAGGGACCAGCAGCUGGGCUUCUCAGCUUCCUCCUGGGUGCUGAGCCCUAGAACAGGAGAGCUGCGGGGCCAGAGGGAGAAAAAGGAGAUGAAACCAUGCACAUCUCCAUGUGGUGCUCAGGAGAGGAAUUUUUUACUUAGAUCCUUGUCGUCCAUUCUGCUGCUGCUUCCAGAUGUUUUUGUUGUAGCUCCAUGGCUCAGACCAGGAGCUUUGACUCAGAAGGGGACUCCUCUGCUGGCACAGGUGGGCAGGAGCAUCCCUAGGAGUGAGACGUGGGACUCCCUCUGAAAUGGGAAGGCCUAAAAUGGGGGACAUGGGCCUCAGUGAGUCCAUCACUGACAAUAAUGAGCAGGGAGGCAUUUUUGGGCACUUCCUACCUCUCUGCAGGGGCUGAAGGGCCUUUUCCUUGCCUUGUGCCCUUCACACUGCCAGUCCCCACACGAUCAGAAAUGCCAGUGCUCCUCCUGAGCACCACGAUGGAAAUGCAAAGAGGAAAUCAUCCCGGGGACUACAGACAGACAGAUCCACAGGACUGGGCUCUGCACCCCUCAGCACGUGGGCAGGGGUGGAUCCACAGCUGCCCUGGCACCACAGCUCUGCUGGGGAUGUGUGGCAGCCCCGAGGCUGCCCUGCACACCUGACCCACCUGCCCUCCCUGUCACCCACCUCGGGGUGGCUGCAGCACGUUGUCCUUGUGCCACAGGACAGUGUCACUGUCACCCUGCAGGCUGCCUGUGCAUGGCAGGAGGAGGCUGUGGUGCUGGGAGUGAUGUUCUUUUGUUGUAGGCAUGAGGGCUAAACUUCAACCACCACAGCUAUCAACAACCCCAGCCAGCACAGCACUUCUGCACACUCCUAACCCAAGGACCUGUGCUCAAAGGCCAGACCAUUUCCUGAGUGAAGGAAAGCCCAAACUGAACAUUGUCUGCAGCCUCCUAAGCUCAAAGACAGGCUGGAAUGGGUGGUGGUGCAUGAACCCACCUCCAGGGACAAUCCUUUGUCCCUUCCCACCACACUUUGAUGCUCUGCUUGCAGAGAUUUGAGCACGUGGGACAUACAGGACUGCAGGAAAUUCUGCUCAUCAAUUCCUCCAUUCACAGUUCCUAAAAAUGGUCAACAUUCCCACUUACUCUGGACUGCCUUGCAAAGUGGUGAAGGAUCUUUAGCUCAGCAAAGAUGGGGAGCCCUGUGGAUGCACUCUGAGGCAUUUCCUCACAAUAUAUAACAUCUAGCACCUGGUGUGUCCAGGCAGAGAGGCUCCUGGGCUAACCCAUGAGGAGGCAUUUGUGAAUCAGAGGAUGCAGAGUCACUAAAACAGGAGUCACAGCUGCCCAAGCAGCUGCUGGUAGCUCUCAGCCCCACCAGUCCAAGGGGGCUGUGACUUGUGGUCUUUCCUUGCCAGCACCUGAGGGUGUUUAGGUGGUCCUGGGGGUGAUGAUGGAGCCUUUGUCCUGUAGAAUAGCUUGAGGGAAACCUUUCCUGAAGGAACGUGGAAAUGGAAGUGCAAAGGCUCUUUGGUUUAGUGAGCUCAGUCCUGGAUGCAGCUGCAGCAGGAGACAGAGGCUGUGUUCUAUACAGGGUGGGAAAACUCCCCCUUGCCUCUGCUUGUCUCUAUCUCCACCUCAUGAGGAGCACUUCAUUUACUUUCAGGUUGUUUUCCACCUUCUGCACAGAAAUGCCAGCUGUAAGACUGCAUUUUCUCCUUUUCUGCAGGACUUCCAUUAAAUUCCUGGUUUUAUAAAAGUU